AUGGGUCAGUUGCUUUGGUCACAGCAUUGUGCUUUGAUGCUUCUUUUUUGCAGAUUAGCUAAAAAAUAUUACGAUCUGUCAAAACAGCAACUUUCUACGGUCAAUAUUAACCGAGAUAUCGCCCUUCGAAAAUCCGGGUUUUUGACGUCAUCCACCGCGGUAGUGACACCCAUGGUUUCCCCCGUCUUGCUUUCAUCAGUGAGGGAGACACGAAUUUGCACUGGUCAUACUCAACAUGAAACAUGGAUGAAAGCAAGGUAAAAAAACCAAGGGUGUCACUACAGGGGUGAAUGGCGCAAGAAACCCGACUUCUCAAUGGGCGAUAUCUCGGUUCGUAUUAAACGCAGUAAGUUGCCGAUAGUGCAGAUAUUAUUAUUGUUAGCUAAUCUGCAAAGAUCAAUCAUGAAAAUACGAUUCUGUGACCAGCGCAAUUGACUCAUUUGAGAGAACUGCCCUAGAAAUCACCAGAAGCGUCCAAUCCUAUUUACUGCCCAGCCAAAGGGGGUGAAUUGGAUCGCAUGUACCGAAAAGGAACCAGCGCGAUUACAGUGUUGUAAAAAUGUCGUGCUUCAUAUUUAUGGAAAAAAAUAUCCCGGAAAUGCAAAAAGUUUGGGUUCUCACCGAAAGAUCGUUAAUUUGAAGGAAAUUAAGUAAUUGUGUAAAUUUUAAUACUAAACGUGUAUUGAGUGUUUGUAAAAGAAAAAGAAAAGUUGCUCGGCGUUGAAAACACCGUAGUCGCGCUGGUUCCUUUUUGCUAAAUGCGAUCCAAUUCACGAAAGGGCCUAAAUCUUAAAUAUAAAGUGAAGGUCAGUUUCGUCAAAAAUUGUCAAAAUUUUCUGGAUCUUUUUCCUGCAAAUUUUUAUACUCCGUCUUUUGAAUAAAUGACGCAAUUUUCUGGGUCGUUUAAGAAGUAGCUUUGUAACUGAUAUUUUGUUUCUAAUGCGGAAAGAAAAAUAUAAAUAUGCCCAUGUUUCGCUAGAUCUCUGGUGAAAACCCAUUGUUUUCCCGUCGUUUCUGUAUUUUCACAUCUCUCUGUGCGAAUGUGUGUCAAUUUGUACCUCUAAUAAAGUUUUGGAUAAAAAAGUUCGUUACAAUUUAUGACAUGUCUCCGGCAAUACAGCAAUUUUGAUUUCACACUCAUUCAUCCUAGUCGGGAGGGAGCGGGAGCCUCUAUGGUCCCGAGCGAACGAUCGAUUUUCGAUUUUUCCCCAUUGGAAGCUACACGGAAAAAAUGAGGUUAGGGCUGGGCCUCAGAAUUGCUUCACCUCAUACCCCACAGGGGCAGGCCCUGCGCGCAGCCCCACCUGGACGGGGUCCAGCCCUUACCAAGUUGGGCUGAACUCUAAAGCAGGUAGGUUUGGGCUCUACCCGCGCUGGGCCUGCCCCUGAGGUAAAGCAAUUUUACCUACCCGGUUAGGGCUGGGACCUUCCGCGUAGGUACCAGCCCUAAACUCGUUUUUUCCGCGUAUGGUAAAGAGUCGAUUUCUGAAGUGUUCUUUGCGAACACCCUGUUUGUCGAGCCUUCUCCAUAGGUUCAAAUGGCAGAAAAAUCGAUAUAUCGCGAAGCACACCACGCCACUGG
rnacentral:lncRNA from 1 species